UCGGGAAUUUUGGGCAAUGGGUGAGAGCCUGAUCCAGCCAUGCCGCGUGCAGGAAGAAGGCGUUAUGCGUUGUAAACUGCUUUUGCCAGGGGAUAAAAAGACCGUGCGCGGUUAAUUGAAGGUACCUGGUGAAUAAGCCACGGCUAACUUCGUGCCAGCAGCCGCGGUAAGACGAAGGAUGCAAGCGUUAUCCGGAUUCAUUGGGUUUAAAGGGUGCGUAGGCGGACUGAUAAGUCAGUGGUGAAAUCUCUCGGCUUAACCGAGAAACUGCCAUUGAUACUGUUAGUCUAGAGUACAGAUGAUGUGGGCGGAAUAUGACAUGUAGUGGUGAAAUACUUAGAUAUGUCAUAGAACACCGAUUGCGAAGGCAGCUCACAAAACUGUAACUGACGCUGAGGCACGAAAGUGCGGGGAUCAAACAGGAUUAGAUACCCGCGUAGUCCCUGAGCGGGCUGGCAAGGCGCAU
rnacentral:rRNA from 1 species